rnacentral:tmRNA from 1 species
GGGGGCGUAAAGGUUUCGACGGGGAUCUUGCAGUAUGAUAAGCGAGUAGAGGCCGCACAACCUCUUUAAAAGGUGCAACCUAAAUAUAAACGCUAGAAAUAGUAUUACAGUAAGCCGUAACAACGGUUUACAGCUUCAGGCAGCCUAAGCUCCCUGACCGUUCCGCUUAAGACUACCACGACUUAUUCGGGGCGUUGAUUUAGUGGUGAACGACCGGAAUGAUUGCCUUUGCAUUUCGGCUGUACAAAAAGGCUACCAGUUAUGUCAGCGUGUUUAUCCGCGGAUUUAACCGGGAAUUCAAAUGAUAAACUACACUCGUAGAAAGUCAUAUGAAUGGGUUUUCGGACACGGGUUCAAUUCCCGUCGCCUCCAU